UACAUUUCUGUGAUGAUUUUAGUUUUUCUUCUUCUUUUCUGGUAUUUGUUGACAUACAUUUUCUUUUUUAUUGUUUGCUGUGGUUUGUAGAAGUGUCUCCCAAAGCCCCAUAUGUUAAGGGCUUAGUUGCCAGCCUAUGAUGUUAUUGGGAGGUGGUGAAACCUUUAAGAGCUGGGGCCUAGUGGAAAGAAAUUAGGUCACUAGGGAUGUAACCCUGGAGAGUGGGGUUCCUAUCACUUCCCCUUUCUUUGCUUCCCCACUGUCUUUUUGUGGGAAGCUUCCUCUGUUACAUGCUCCCUCCAUGAGAUACUAUAUCACCAUAGACCUGAACGCAACACACCUGCACUAAAACCUCCAGAACUGUGAGUCAAAAUAAAAAUUUCCGCCUUUUUAAUUUGCUUAUCUCAGGUGUUUUGUUUUAAUAACAGAAAGCUGACUAACACAUCAUAUUACCACUUUUCCCCCAAGUUCUUGCAUUUCUGCUCCAUGUUCUUUCAAGUUGGAUGUAAU
rnacentral:lncRNA from 1 species